GCUCUACCUGUGCUGCUAAUUAGUGGCAUGAGGAGCCAGCACUGUCCUCCCCAGUGGGAAGCAGCUAAUAAACUAAUUAGGAUAAUGGGUAACUGAGCAGAUAAAAGUCUUAAGCUAUUUGCUAACAGGUCAUGGAUGGAUGUGGAGCCUUUCCCCCAGUGAUGCACCCGCAUGACCCCAGUGGUCCCAGUCCUGCUGUUCCAGGGACAGGGAAGAGCCUGCAGAUGUCGUGUUUUCCAUGCCAGUGCCUCACCACCCUGGGCAGGCAGCUGCUGCUCAGCAAGGGGACCUCUGCCAGCCUGAGCCUGGUGACAAGGGUGACCCUGCUGGAGGGCACUCACGUUUGCAGAUGAGCUGGGAAAGGAUGGUCCCAGCAGCACAGGGUGAGACUGGUGACAGAGCCCCUGGUGCCACCAAAAGAAAGGGCUGCAGGAGUGAGAUUUUACCAGGUAAGGCAGCUAUGGGCUGUGUAGCCUGCAGAGCAGACAGCCUGACUGUGGGUGUAGCUUCUGUCUUGGAAGAGCUUGGUCAGCUACGGAAAAUGCCCAAAGGUUAAAAAAUGGGGAAUUUCCACAGCUCCACCCAGGAGUGCUGAAACAAAUGAAGUGAUAACGAAAGCAUAACGGGCUUAUUUCCAGAUCCAGAGCACAGUAUGCCAUCAGGAGCUGCUCCUCCAUGGGAAAUGACCAAAGGAUGCCAGCUCCAGGCUGCUCCUGUGCUGGGCACCCAGACCCUGCUGCUUCCCCUGCCUGUGGGGGAGCCUGGCACUCCCACAGCUCCAGCCCACCCAGAUCCAGGACAGGGAGAGGGAAGUUGCUUUCUGCAUCCCAGGGGGAGGAUUUGAGGCUGAGUGGAUGUGACCUUGGGCUCUGGCAGGGAGCUGCCAUGAGUGCUGCACCCCCACUCGGCCCUUGCCCUUCCCUCCAUUCCACAGAAGCUGUUUUCAGAGCUGCUGCUCUCCCAAAGUGCUUCACAUCUCUCUGAUCUGGCUGGAGGAGGAGCUGAAGAGAAGGGCAGAGCAUCCACCUCCCUGGCCCAGGCUCUGGCAGGAGCCACCUCUCUCUGUGUCCCCUGUGCAGUGAGCUGGGAGCAGCUGUGCAUCCCCUCCCUGAGCAGCCACAGACUGCACAGGGUGAGCAGGGAGGUAGCCCUGUCUCCUCAAGUACCAGGUGAAAUCCCAAUUGAAAACUGCAGCUGGGCAGCUCCAGCUGCCUCUGCUCUCCUCCAGAAUGCCCAUGCCUGGAUUCCCUCACUGUGUGCCAGGGUUCUUUCCAGCUUUUCUUAGGAUGGGUGGGAGAGGAGCUGUGUCCCCCCUGGCAUGGGACAGGUUGGACCGUCUGUUCUGCUGCUGGUGGGGCAGAAGCUUGGCUCUUCUUAGCCAAGCACACAGGGUAAUUUAGUUAUUUACUAGAUUAUAAAUUUAGUAAAUAACUAAACACCACCACUUUAGUUCUGACAGUAACAGCCCUUUCCUACAGGGGUGAGGAACUGCUGGGGGCCCAUCCCAGCAAAACCCAGUGUCUGACACCUCUGGAGCCUGGUCCAGACCCCUCUGUCAGCAGGUCUGACCCAGCAAGCACAUUGUGCAAGUAAAAAUCUGAUUUUAAACCUUUCUGCCCUCAUCCUCACAGGGCUUUUUUAUCUGAGGGUGGGAGGAGGAAAGCUUCAUUACUGCUGCUGGGGUCACUUAUUAACCUGCUGGUUCCUAAUGAUGCACUUAUCUCCUCCUGCCAGCCCUGGCCUCCAUCAGGCACCGCUGCAGGGGCUCUCCUGCCCUACAUUGCUCUCUCUUCAUUAGCUUUUCAUUUUCCUUAAUUGCUCCUGCAGAUUUGCCUGGGGUGUCAGGCCUGGGGGAUGCCCAGAGGGAGAUGGGGAUGCAGGGGGAGCAGGCACAAAGCUGAGGAUGCCACGCUGCUGGUUCACUGAUGGGAAGAGCAGGAAGCACAGAUGCUCUUGCCUGCUGCUCCCCAGCCAUGGGCAGGGUUUGUUAUUAACCCUUAAACCGGCUGGGGUAAAUAUUUGAGGUGACAGAUACAAAAGUGAUGCAAGAGAGUGCUGAGUCCUGCCUCAGCCUCAUAGCUAAAAUGUGACCACCCUCCCACCCAAACCAGGUGUGGAAGGGCUUCUGGGGGCGCAUCCCACCCCCUGUCCCUGCCCCACAGCCAGCUCUGACCUGCGGUGGUGGUGUCCACAUCCCUGGCCGCCAU